CUAAUUGUCGAGGUCCUCUUCCAGGAUUGGCUGUCCCUUCGUAACCAUAAGAUAAUUAAAACGGGGGGGGGGCAAAGUUAAAAAAAAACCUUUUUUUUAAUCAUCCAGAGGCUAAUGCAAGUGUUAAACAGAUGCUUCACUAUUAAAAUAUUUCUCCCCAAGUCUCAAAUAUUGAAGAACGUUAAACCAGGGACAUCAGCCUCAACGGAGACUUUGGGGGUAUUCCACAGCGCAGGCACCUCGAUUCCUCCAAUCUUUGGUGUGGUCGGAUCUGUGUUCUCCUGAUUUAACUAGCCUGGUUGAAGGCGCAGUUCAGUCUUAGGAAAGUCUUCCCUUGCUCAGUCUACAUCUGCCUGUGACUUGAGAAUGAAACUUCACUCUGGCCAAGGCACAGCUCAGUUCACAUCCUCCUGGAGAAGCACGGUAAUGUUUGGACCUCUGCUGCCUGGAGAGCCGACCAUCCCGACAGCUAUGGGUGCCAGCCUGGCCAGUUGUAUCCUCCCGCGACGUCCAUUCAGGGGCGUCUUCUGGGGCCCCUUCUCCACGCAGCCUCGGUCCCUCCAGCCCUGCAAAAGUACGGCACCCUGGGGAUCUCCGGAGGCUCGGCCCUUGCAGGACGGUGGGCUCUGGGCCACGCAUAGUGCCACCGAAGCUUUGGGAGUACGAGGCACCACCCCAGGUUAAAACCUGCACUCCACCACCCUUGUCAUCCUGCUUCAAUUCUCAUUGUAAUCCCCAACCCUGCCGGAUCCCAGCACCCAGCAGACAGUUUUCGGGCGAGCAAGCUAUGGGAGGUCGCGGCUCCGGGAGGGGUGGAGCCUCAGUUUCUCCUGUGAGGCGCGGGUGGGCGGGAAGGAGUUAAACGCACCCCUCUCUCAUCCUCCCAGUCCAGCCCCUGCUCGGGGCGAAGGCCCCGCCGGUUCCCUCUUGAGGUCUCAUUAGGGAAACCCUCGCCGCUAUUUUCAACGUUUCCUCAAUCAAGUGUCUUUAAAUAGAGCUGCACAAACAAAUUGGCGGCAAAAGCGUAGAUCGUGUCACCACGGAGACCAAUCCAAUAUUUCAGCUUUGUUUGCUUUGCAAUUACGGGCUGGCUUGUGGCUGCGGUGCCACCCGGGCAAGUCCGUCAGGGUGCGCUUUCUGCUCCGCACCGGGCUGCAGGCAGCGACCGCGGAGCCGCGCGGCCGAGGGGAGGCGACGGUGCGGGCGAGGGGCCUCGUCCAGAUCCCCCUGCGAGACACUCCCCAGUUCCUGCCGGAGCCACUGAGGCACACGCGACAAUAAAGAGCGUAAUUCACCUUCGGGAAUCGUGUUGUGUCCUUACCAGCUUCCUCUGUGCCCCGCCCUCCCUGCCCCUCUUCAGUCUUGGGCACAUUUUAUGCAGCGUGUGUUAGCGGUUACUGCGUUUCCCCUUCUCCCUUGGUGUUAAACUGCUAGCAUGAUUUGUUAUAUUUUCCAUAGCUGCUGAUGCUUGUUUGACUUUUUGUACAAAGUCUCUUUAAAUCUGCUACAGAAAUUAAGCCCAAGUCCUGUGGACGGGUUCCUGCAGGGGUUGGGGCCGCCUCCAGCCUCCUCGAGUUCUUUCCGGGCAGCUUGUCUGUGGAAAGCCCCUGGUGCCCUGGUCACCGCCCUGGCGAGCCUAGGCUGUAUCAGCAGAACAGUAGUUAACUCCAAUCAGGUCCUAAGCCUUAUAUUUCACAGACAAUUAAAUCUUGGCCGCCGUUGAACAAAAUUGUAAUAUUUACUCUGCUCUGUUCCGAGGAGCACUUUUAAAGUAAAAAGCAAAUUACAUUUCAAAAAGCAACUAUCAUAAUAAAUCUCUUUUUAUGGAUUUUGUCUGCAUAAGUGGAAGCAACAUGAUUUAAAUCUUGAACAACUCCCCUCUCAUUUUCAAAACUGAAGUUGUGAGACACUGUCCUUCAAUAAGGUCUCUGUCUUUUGGGGGAGACACCCACAUUGUUGCAUUUGUUUAAGGUCCAGUGUUUUACCCCAAGCUCUGGCCCAUAUAGUAUGUAACAAGGAUGAUUAAAUAAUAAGCACUUAGAGAUGAAGUCUCCUUUUUACACGGACUCAAGAAAGACGGGUGCGACUUGGGUAAUUAUUUUGUGAGUUCAUAUUACUUUCUAAAUGAAAACCCAUGUUCUUCUCAUGUCUACUUCUGAAGGAGGUAGACAGAUAAAUAUUUUGGUGAGAAAAACUAUGGAGUGCAUGUUAAGAUGUACUUCUUUAUUCUUUAAGAACUGUAAGGAACAGAUCUACCUUCGUUCAUAGUCAUACAUGCAAUUUCCAGCCAUUCUGGCCAAUAAAUAAUUGCUUUCUUGCCUAA